ACUCCUACGGGAGGCAGCAGUGAGGAAUAUUGGACAAUGGGUGAGAGCCUGAUCCAGCCAUCCCGCGUGAAGGACGACGGCCCUAUGGGUUGUAAACUUCUUUUGUACAGGGAUAAACCUUUCCACGUGUGGGAAGCUGAAGGUACUGUACGAAUAAGCACCGGCUAACUCCGUGCCAGCAGCCGCGGUAAUACGGAGGGGUGCAAGCGUUAUCCGGAUUUAUUGGGGUUUAAAGGGUCCGUAGGCGGAUCUGUAAGUCAGUGGUGAAAUCUCACAGCUUAACUGUGAAACUGCCAUUGAUACUGCAGGUCUUGAGUAAAUUUGAAGUGGCUGGAAUAAGUAGUGUAGCGGUGAAAUGCAUAGAUAUUACUUAGAACACCAAUUGCGAAGGCAGGUCACUAAGAUUUAACUGACGCUGAGGGACGAAAGCGUGGGGAGCGAACAGGAUUAGAUACCCUGGUAGCACAGAG
rnacentral:rRNA from 1 species